CUGUUUCAACAUGACAGUAGAAGAGAAAGGGAAAUUUCUGUGAGAGAAGCGUGCGUAUUAUGAAAAGAAUUUACCACAUAUCGUGCUUUGCUUGCGUUAGCAAUUUAUACACCAUAAACAUAUUAAUGUAUACAAGAAAUGACGAUGAUCUAUUUACACCUCGAUAUCAGAUGUGACGUAUUUCGAGGGAUACGGAUAUGCGUCACGGUAAAAUCAGUAACGACAUGACAUAGUCACGAAUUAAAUUUAGGGCUUAGCCAAAUAAACUACAGACCAAGAUAACGACGGCACGUUGCGAUAUGUGCAGCUGUUUACAAAAUCUGGGUCACCUCCGCAUCGUAUUUUUAAUGUUUUCUAUGUCUUUCACUAAAUGUAUAAUUUCACUCUUACGCAGAUUCUUUAAUUGCGCCAAUGCAAGGUUGCGCGACAUUGACUCCAUUAAUGGCCAUAUGCACCUUACUAUAAAAAGCCCAGCUUAAUGUUUAAUCGCGCUUAUAUCACUAAUUUGUUAUGCACCGGUGUAAAAAUGCUCUCUAAGCUCGCUUAACGUUAAGCCUCCAUCAUGGCGGUACUACUAAUGUUUCAGGAACAACAGUGUAUCACCGAUAAAUCAACUGUUAACAACCCUUUUAUUUUAUGCCAGCAGUAGCCACCAAAUUAACAUUGCAGAUUUUAUGCAUAUGAACCAAGGUACUGUCUCGCGUGUAAUCAAAAAAGUUUCACAAGUCAUUGCUGGUCUUCGAAACCGCUUCAUAAAGAUGCCCUCGACCCCAGACGAAAUAGUUGCUAGUCAAAAUAGCUUUUACAGGGUAGCACGCUUUCCUCGCGUAAUUGGAUGUGUUGAUGGAACACUUAUAAAAAUUCGUUCUCCAGGUGGCGAAGAUGGAGAAGUGUACAGAAAUAGAAAAUCCUAUUUUUCUAUAAAUGUACAAUUAGUGUGUGACAGUACCCUAAAAAUCAUAAAUGUUGUUGCCAGAUGGCCAGGUUCGGCACAUGAUGCAACAAUAUUUAAUAACAGUCGUUUGAGGACAAGGUGUCGUGUGAGGCAGGGGAGUUCGGUACUGCUAUUCUUCUUGGUGACAGUGGAUAUGCACUUAAAGCAUACUUAUUAACACCGCUUCUGAAUCCAACAACACCAGCACAGCAAUUAUAUAAUGAGUCGCACAUUCGCACACGGAAUUGCAUCGAAAGAACAAAUGGUGUAUGGAAAAGACGUUUUCUAGCACUGUGUUACGGACUUCGGUGCCAUAUUGAUACCGCUUUAACUGUCAUUGUAGCAACAGCAGUUCUGCAUAACAUCGCGAUUAAUAUGCAUGAAGACAUGCCACCACCUCCGAAUGACAUAAAUGCGGAGGAACUGGAGUAUCUAAUUCAGCAGGGUCAGAUUGAAGCUAUACAGGGACCCCAACAUAUUAAUUACGAUUUCAGAACACACAUUGUUAAUAAUUAUUUUGCACAUUUAUAAAAUAUGUAUUUGUUACUUAACACAUUUACGUAUGUACCAGUUUAUAAUAUUAUUGUUACCUAUAUUACUAUAAGUAUAAAACAGAUAAUUACUAAUUUUCAGUGUCAAGCUCUUCAUCUCUUUUCAAUUUCCUAGUUAACAA